UGGCUAAUAAGUGACGGUACCUUACCAGAAAGGGACGGCUAACUACGUGCCAGCAGCCGCGGUAAUACGUAGGUCCCGAGCGUUAUCCGGAAUUAUUGGGCGUAAAGGGCACGUAGGCGGACAAAUAAGUUUGAUGUCAAAUAUGAUGGCUCAACCAUCAAGAGGCGUUGAAAACUGUUUAUCUAGAAUCUCGGAGAGGUAAGUGGAAUUCCGAUGUGUAGCGGUGGAAUGCGUAGAUAUAUGGAGGAACACCAAUGGCGAAGGCAGCUUACUGGACGAAGAUUGACGCUGAGGUGCGAAAGCGUGGGUAGCAAACAGGAUUAGAUACCCUGGUAG
rnacentral:rRNA from 1 species